GAGAGAGAGAGAGAGAGAGAGAGAGAGAGAGAGAGAGAGAAAAGGAAGAAAAAGAAGAAGAAAAAACUAACUCGAGUCCGUCUAAAAAAGAAAAAUGAAACGUAGGAAGGAUACGUUGCAAGAUAGAUUCUCUUCCAAUUAGUGUAGCGGCACCGCCAGCACAGGCAUCAGCACCAGCACCAGUAACAGCAGCACCAGUAACAGCAGCACCAGCAGUAGCAGCAGCAGCAGCAGCAGCAGCAGCUCGCUGACGGAGUAAUAUGGUCUUGCGUUUCUAACGAAAAGCAACUUAGUAAAGUUCUCUCCUUGGACAAGACACAUUGAUCAAACUCUCUAUCAACGAGGAAGUAUGAGAGAUAAGGGGAAAUGGGCGAUGCGGAGGACGGGGAAUCAGGAAGCUCGUUUCAAAGCGGCCACCACUCUGGAUGCAUAAACGUAAAAGGGGAAUUACGUUGGAGAGAAAAAAGGAAAUGAAAGAAAAGAAAAAUAAAAGAAGAAGAAGAAGAAAAAGAAGAAGGAGGAGGAAGAGGAGAAGAGGAAGAAGAAAAAAUAAAGGUGGAAAGGAGGAAGGUGAAAAAACGUAAAGUAUCUUACGAUUAAUCCCACGAACGCGUUUGUUCGUUCGCUCGUUUAUUUGUUUG